UACGUAGGUGGCGAGCGUUGUCCGGAUUUACUGGGCGUAAAGGGAGCGUAGGCGGACUUUUAAGUGAGAUGUGAAAUACUCGGGCUCAACUUGAGUGCUGCAUUUCAAACUGGAAGUCUAGAGUGCAGGAGAGGAGAAUGGAAUUCCUAGUGUAGCGGUGAAAUGCGUAGAGAUUAGGAAGAACACCAGUGGCGAAGGCGAUUCUCUGGACUGUAACUGACGCUGAGGCUCGAAAGCGUG
rnacentral:rRNA from 1 species